rnacentral:rRNA from 1 species
UACGUAGGGUGCAAGCGUUGUCCGGAAUUAUUGGGCGUAAAGAGCUCGUAGGCGGUCUGUCGCGUCGGCUGUGAAAACUUGGGGCUCAACCCCAAGCCUGCAGUCGAUACGGGCAGACUAGAGUCCGGCAGGGGAGACUGGAAUUCCUGGUGUAGCGGUGAAAUGCGCAGAUAUCAGGAGGAACACCGAUGGCGAAGGCAGGUCUCUGGGCAUUAACUGACGCUGAGGAGCGAAAGCAUGGGGAGCGAACAGG